rnacentral:rRNA from 1 species
AAUGGGGGCAACCCUGAUCCAGCCAUGCCGCGUGAGUGAAGAAGGCCUUCGGGUUGUAAAGGACUUUUGUCAGGGAGCAAAACCCAGCAGCUAAUAUCUGUUGGGGAUGAGAGUACCUGAAGAAUAAGCACCGGCUAACUACGUGCCAGCAGCCGCGGUAAUACGUAGGGUGCGAGCGUUAAUCGGAAUUACUGGGCGUAAAGCGUGCGCAGGCGGUUUGGUAAGACAGGCGUGAAAUCCCCGGGCUUAACCUGGGAACUGCGCUUGUGACUGCCGCACUAGAGUACGGCAGAGGGGGGUGGAAUUCCAUGUGUAGCAGUGAAAUGCGUAGAGAUGUGGAGGAACACCGAUGGCGAAGGCAGCCCCCUGGGCCGAUACUGACGCUCAUGCACGAAAGCGUGGGUAGCAAA